UUUUCUUUUCUCUUUUUUCGUUGGCUUUUUCUCUUCUAUGUUCAUUUAAUUGUAGAUUGUUUUCUUUUUUAAUUAGAGAUUAAUUUAACUAAUUCUUUCUGUUUAAUUUUCUAUUUGGUGGAUAAUUGAUUUGAGAAGCGAUUCUAAUUCUAAUUUAUUGACUUGAUUUUCGGCUUCAUAUUGUCUUUAAUUGUCUUUGGAUUAUUGGCUAUUUGGAAUUGGAUUUUUUUUUAUUCUAUUUCUUUUUGAUUUGUUGAUUAGGACCUGAUUAGGUUUUGUUUUUCUGUGUUGGUUUCAUUGCUUGAUGAUUGCCGUCGAACCGCUGUUACCACGAUUCCUUGUUCGUUUCAUCGAUUCAAGAGUCCGCUGAAUAUUGAUUAUGAUAAUGGAAAGUUGGAAAGAUAGACAAAUGUGUCUAAACAAUUUCACUGCUUAUUAUUGGUUUGAGGUUAUUUUAUAACAGUGAUGGAACAUAAGCCAAAGAUGAUUAACACCGUGAUUAAGGCAACUUUAUGAUGAAGAUGAUGGUGGAAAAUAAUUCUAUCCUCUUGAUGAUGAUGAGUUUUAAUGAUUAACCGUUAACCUGUGUAAUCUCCGUAAACAAAAAGUGAUCACAACAACCCAAAAUUAAUCCGAUUGUAAACUGGUAUCAAAAUUUCAAUGUUCGUUUCCUUUCCUUAGGCCUUUAUUUCGACAUCUGUCAAUUUCCAUCCAUGAUUUCCAUCUGUCUGCUUUCCACGAUGUUCUACUCUCUCUCGCUCGCUCCUUCAUCGGCAUCUUCUCUCUCUCUCUUCCUCUUUCCAUCUGUCUACCUCACAGAAUCUCUCUUACUCUAUGUGACGAUCUUUCUCUCUAUCUCUUUCUUUCUUCCUUUCUUCCUUUCUUUCUCUCUUUCCCCAUCUGUCUUACUUCGUUUUCUUAUUUUGCCUCUUUUUGCUUCCUUCGCAUCAUCCUCAUCAUCAGCUCCCUCAUCUUCUUCUUCUUCUUCUUCUUCUCCUUCUUUGUAUCUACUAUUUAAGUUGAGUGGGUCAAUCACUCGAUACGAGAGAACAACCAACUUCAAUAAGGGAAUAAAUAAGAAAGCAAGAAAUGGAUCAAAAUCUAUGGUUACCUUUGUGUUUAUCUUACCUUUAACCUUCAUCCUUAUGAUUGUCAUCAUUACUUUAAAUAACCUUAAUUGUUAACCUAUCAUGUUUAGUAAAUCAAGUUGCUUUUCCUUUGGUUUUUAAAGUGACAAUUGGUUCCCAAAACCAAACUUACAAACAGCGAUUCUUUAUCCAAAUGACAUUGAUAACAAUUUACUAACAACAAUUUCUAAAAUUAAAUCUUCACAAACUCGACAAACUCAUCAAAACAAUUGAUUCUCACAAUUAGGACAUUUAAAAAAAAACAAAUGAUUGGCGUUUAUUUGAAUAUGUUAUUAAAGUGAUUAGCAUAUGAACAACUUGA